rnacentral:miRNA from 1 species
AGUGUCACGGAGCAGCUUGCUCCGUGACACUCUCUAGCGAUAUUUUUUUUUUUUUUUUUUUAGUUUUAGUAAUAUGAGAGUGUCACGGAGCAAGCUGCUCCGUGACACU